rnacentral:misc_RNA from 1 species
UGUGCAUAUUUACAAUUUUUUUUUUUUUCACCUUGCCUCGCUUCGCUCGGGCGUGCGCCUUCGCCUUGAGUCUUUAAUUGUUCAUGGGCGAGUUCUUCAACUCCUAUGAAGCAAAUGUAGGUAUCAAAGAAGUAUGAAACUUGUACAAUUGAAUGCUCAAUUACAAAUUAUAAGUGCUCAACUCCAUUAAGCCUCAAUCCCAAACUAGUUCGGCUCAGCUACAUGGUUUCCUCCAUGCCUCUCAUCAAAGAAUAAUGACAAAUUAUAAGGACGACUGAAAAAAAAAAGGGAAUGUUCACUUUGAAAAACUAUAGUAGUUUUCUAGAAAAGUUCUCUAAGAAAACUACAAAACAAAGUUUCGUGUUUACAGGUGCCAAUUUUCCAAAUGGACAACUGGAAAAUCAGUUUUCCAGUUCUCCAAAAUUUAACUAGGAUUUCGAGAACAACCUUAAGUUAUUUUCCACUAUUUUCCUUUAUAACAAAAUUAUGUUUUCUAAUUAGUCUUCAAAUGGAAUAAAA